UCUGUCGUGGGGGAUAACGUAGGGAAACUUACGCUAAUACCGCAUACGACCUACGGGUGAAAGCAGGGGAUCUUCGGACCUUGCGCGAUUGAAUGAGCCGAUGUCGGAUUAGCUAGUUGGCGGGGUAAAGGCCCACCAAGGCGACGAUCCGUAGCUGGUCUGAGAGGAUGAUCAGCCACACUGGAACUGAGACACGGUCCAGACUCCUACGGGAGGCAGCAGUGGGGAAUAUUGGACAAUGGGCGCAAGCCUGAUCCAGCCAUACCGCGUGGGUGAAGAAGGCCUUCGGGUUGUAAAGCCCUUUUGUUGGGAAAGAAAUCCAGCCGGCUAAUACCCGGUUGGGAUGACGGUACCCAAAGAAUAAGCACCGGCUAACUUCGUGCCAGCAGCCGCGGUAAUACGAAGGGUGCAAGCGUUACUCGGAAUUACUGGGCGUAAAGCGUGCGUAGGUGGUCGUUUAAGUCCGUUGUGAAAGCCCUGGGCUCAACCUGGGAACUGCAGUGGAUACUGGGCGACUAGAGUGUGGUAGAGGGUAGCGGAAUUCCUGGUGUAGCAGUGAAAUGCGUAGAGAUCAGGAGGAACAUCCAUGGCGAAGGCAGCUACCUGGACCAACA
rnacentral:rRNA from 1 species